GGAGUGGAUCAUAUCAGGUAGAUAACAGAACUGCCACAAAGUGCUGUUUAUGACUAUAAUUUUAUGACAGUCAGGUUAAUGAUAGUCAGGUUAAUGAUAGUCAGGUUCAUGAUAGUCAGGCUUAUGAUAGUCAGGUUUAUGAGUCAGGUUAAUGAUAGUCAGGUUUAUGAUAGUCAGGUUCAUAAUAGUCAGGCUUAUGAUAGUCAGGUUCAUGAUAGUCAGGUUCAUGAUAGUCAGGUUUAUGACAGUCAGGCUAAUAAUAGUCAGUCUUAUGAUAGGCUUAUGAUAGACAGGUUUAUGAUAGGUUUAUGACAGACAGGUUUAUGAUAGUCAGGUCUAUAAUAGUCAGGGUAAAACAUAAAGAGAUGAGAGCAGCUGAGCUCUCUGUUCUGCUUCAAGAUGGAGCCUCCCCUCAAAAAAAACCAAACAAA